rnacentral:lncRNA from 1 species
GCAGGAAGUGUUGCUUGCAGACAGGUGAACAGCAUAUCCCCAAUCACUAAUCAGCAGCAGUGUGGAGGGGCUCGUGUGACUUGGCUGUGACAACUCACCUGGGAGACAUGUCUCUCUUUUCAAGAGUGUUCUUUGCCUGGGCAGCUGCUCUAGUGCCAUUUAUCAUGGAUCUACAUGCAGCACAGGCGUAUCCCACUGUUGCCCCGUUAGACAAUGGAGAGCAACCAUUCUGGAGGUCACACAAGCGCCUCGGUCUGCUGUCUUCUGGAGCAGGACGUCUAACCGAGUCUGCAGCUGCCCAGAGCUGGAGGGAUCAGGGCCGAGAUGAUCCACCAGUCCCUCAUCUCCAGCCAGAUCUGCUCAGAAACGGGCACUCGGGUUACAGUCAAAACACCCAGAACAACAAACCGCCUAUGAGUCAAGUUGGCAGAGGUCAACACUUGGGUGGAGCGAUGCAAGAAGGCGGCACGUCCACCCACUCAGACCCACAGCUAUCAGGAAUGAAUCACAACCCUUCCUUUCGUUCGCAAAGCCAAAAUAGUGGACCGUCUGGCUCUGUUGCCUCUCACAAUGGAAAUCCCCAGCCCGGGCACCUACCAAUCAUGAGAAAAUCCUCACACCCGGAGAGCCCCUUCCUUCAAAGAAGUGCCUCACACUUUCAUAAAGUGUAUGAAAAUGACCAGAUUCCCAGAAGCGGCUCGUCAGCACAGCCUGAAAGCAGAAGCGAGGACAAAAUGGACUGGAAAUCCCCUGAGAAUCCCAUGUCAUUGAGGAGCCAUGGGUAUUGGAGCUCGCAAGCCUAUUCAAAGGUGCAUCCCUCUUUUUUAAAUCAGGGCUCCUCAAUAGUGGCAUCAGUGAGCAGUAGCAAAGACUCAAGUGUUAACAAGCCGGAAAAACUGACAACCAUCACACAGGGCGAGUUCCCACCAAACGGCAAUGAGAAAAGCAGCUACAAAAGAGUCCAGUCACCUCUUCUCCGGCAUUCCCACACUUCAGAUGCAUCCAGAGGAGUGAACGUGCCCAACUCUCACCACAAAGGCAGCGAUCAACAAACGAGAGCAAACUUGAAAAGUCCUAAUAAAGGCGAUCAUUCGUCAUCUCUAAACCCUUAUGACAACACUGACAGUGCUGUUAGAAAUGCUCAAGAUGCGGAAAGUGGCCAAGUUAUUCCAAGUAAUGAGAAUGAUGGCCGAGUAAAGGAACGCUUCCAUCUCAAUAAAGGGCUUUUAAGUUGGUCGACUUUGAAGAAAAACAGUCAGUCAUCAAUGAAUGCAAAAGAGGCCGAUUUUGAAUCGAGCAUUUAUAGACUUGUACGUCCAGCUAGGCUACAAAAGUACAGUUUUGAGCAGAGGAUCACAACCAGCCCUCCAAGUCGAGAGAUUUCCAGACAGCCUUCCUCUGCGCUUAUAGAUUCCACGACUCAAAAUUCAUCACUCGUACAAGAAUAUGGACCUCAGAGUGUAGAAGAUAUUAACGUUGAAAGACCCGGUCCUUUCAGCGGUGCAGGACAAAAUGAAUCUAAACCAUUUGCUGAGUCUGCAAACGUCUCAAAAUCCGUCUCCCUGACUGGAGUCAAGCCCGAAGGAAACACACAGGAGAAAGACAGUGUAGCCAAGGAUUUGCAGAAUGAAGUGGUCACUUAUGAUGAUGUUAUCGGAAGUGCCUCUUUUAGUAGUGUCACACCUGACAGAACAGUCCAAGAUGAGAGCCAUUUUGAAAAGACCGUUCAUUCAAGUCACACAAAUGGCACCGAGGAGAAUUCUGUUGGUGGGAAAACAUUCAAUUUUAGAAAAGGAGAAGCAGAGACUGAAUUGGGGAUAUCUGAUGGGAGCGUGGCUGAAAAGGAAAGUGAAGCCAAGAGUGUCCCUCAUGGGCGGCUGUCUGAUGCUGAAGAAAAUAUUGAGAGCGACAGUUGGCUGGAGUUGGAUUAUCUCCGCACAUCGACAGGAAACGUCUCCUUCCAGUCCCUAAAUCAAUUAAUUUAAUAAAAGCUAUUGCCAAAACCUAUUUGUGUUGUGAGAUUUCCUCAGUGUGUGUUUUUAUGCAUGAACCAAAUACAAAAAUGCUCGAUCCACUCCAGUAACUGAUCCAUACAGUGGUGGUGUGGGGUAUUGCCUGUAGGCUACUCAAGUAUGUUUCAGAGUAAAAGUAACAUGAAUCAUGAUUGGCUAGACUUGCAGUGGUUUCAUUUCUCGUCGAGAGCGUAGAUGAGGAAGGUUGUUAAUAAUCUACCAAGUUAUUAGCCAUCCUAAAAGGAAAAUGUAGUGGAAAAAUACUUGGGGGUUUUUUCUGGAAUUUUACUUCCGUAUAAGUUGGUGGUAUUGUAAAAUUGUUUGUCUUACCCCUGUGUCUAAAUCCCACUGGGCACAUAAUCCUAGUACUGUAUUUAACCAUACAUGUCCUCCAUAAACCAUAUCUGCCCCACAGAAUUCUUCUCCACUGUUCUGACCUUGUGUCAUGUGUAUAUAGUGACCACUAUGCCCCUAGGAGCAAAAGGAAG